rnacentral:rRNA from 1 species
CCUACGGGAGGCAGCAGUGAGGAAUAUUGGGCAAUGGACGAGAGUCUGACCCAGCCAAGUAGCGUGAAGGAUGACUGCCCUAUGGGUUGUAAACUUCUUUUAUAAAGGCAUAAAACGAGGCUCGUGUGCCUUUUUGCAUGUACUUUAUGAAUAAGAGUCGGCUAACUCCGUGCCAGCAGCCGCGGUAAUACGGAGGAUCCGAGCGUUAUCCGGAUUUAUUGGGGUUAAAGGGCGCGUAGAUGGGUUUUUAAGGCAGUUGUGAAAGUUUGCGGCUCAACCGUCAAAUUGCAAUUGAUACUGGCAGUCUUGAGUAAAGGUGAGGCAGGCGGAAUUCGUGGUGUAGCGGUGAAAUGCGUAGAU